rfam:Nicotiana sylvestris Nsyl_contig278877, whole genome shotgun sequence.
AUUCGUUGGAUGAAUGUGAGGCAUUGGAUUGAUUUCGUUCAAUCCGAGCCCCACAGUCAUCCAGGGUUCGU